GCAGUCGUGGCCGAGUGGUUAAGGCGAUGGACAAGAAAUCCAUUGGGGUCUCUCCGCACAGGUUCGAAUCCUGUCGACUGCG
rnacentral:tRNA from 1 species